CCCUUACUCGCUCUUUCACUGCUGCAGAUUCAAGACUGUCUGUUGAUUACGCAAUGGCUGUCAUUAUAAAAAGAGUUUGUCUUUGGCAGCCGUACAGAAAAUACAAUGCAUCCGUCAUAAAAUGACCCGAUACCUUUGGGGUUCUGAUGGCACUGAGGCUGGUCUGUUCUGAAAUGAGGCUUUCGGUCUGUCUACAAGGGCGGCUGUAGGAAGUCGAUGAUAUCCGAGGCUGCCUUCACCUCUUCAGGAGUUGGGUGCUCAGCGCUGCAGUCUGGUGUCAGUCUAUGUGAACUGCCCUCACCCAUCCCUCAGGUGUGCUGCAGUCUGGUUGGUCAGUCUGAGACCACAUGACCUGUAGCCUACGGCCCAGACUCCUCCAUCACACACAGCCCUCUGGUUCCAUAGAGAGGUGGAGGGGCUUCCCACCAUAAUGGCUGCCCGUCCUGUGUUUUCUCUGACGUGUUGCGGUGCAGAAUCAGAAGGUGGCGAAUCGCAUUUCUGCAUGUCUGGCAGACAUAUCAGUG